ensembl:lncRNA
CUGGUGGAGGACUUGAAGCACUUUCUAAAAAUAAGCUGCUUGCCCCGGGUCCUGCUGGGUUCUUGCAGUUCCAGAAGAAAGCAGAUAAAGAAUGCAGGUCUUCUGGCUUGAAAUCUACCAGCCUGUCUCUCCUCCCCUCCCCUCUACCAGGCCCUCACUAAGCCUGCUGGGCCGGUCUGGUUUUCUUGGCCUCAGCACAUGCAUGCAAACCCUAGAUAAGAAUUUCCAGAGAACCUGACCAGCAAGAGUUUAAUUACUACUCCCUUGGGUUGGAGGCAACUGAGGUGGAGAUGGCGGUUCAGAGCCCCAAUGUCCUCAGGACAGUGUUCCAUGACGGCCAAGUUUCUUCUCUUCCAGCAGGUGGCAGCAGCAACUUCAGGUGAGAAAACAGAGUAACUUG